rnacentral:rRNA from 1 species
GACGAACGCUGGCGGCGUGCUUAACACAUGCAAGUCGAACGGAAAGGCCCUGCUUUUGUGGGGUGCUCGAGUGGCGAACGGGUGAGUAACACGUGAGUAACCUGCCCUUGACUUUGGGAUAACUUCAGGAAACUGGGGCUAAUACCGGAUAGGAGCUCCUGCUGCAUGGUGGGGGUUGGAAAGUUUCGGCGGUUGGGGAUGGACUCGCGGCUUAUCAGCUUGUUGGUGGGGUAGUGGCUUACCAAGGCUUUGACGGGUAGCCGGCCUGAGAGGGUGACCGGCCACAUUGGGACUGAGAUACGGCCCAGACUCCUACGGGAGGCAGCAGUGGGGAAUAUUGCACAAUGGGCGGAAGCCUGAUGCAGCAACGCCGCGUGCGGGAUGACGGCCUUCGGGUUGUAAACCGCUUUCGCCUGUGACGAAGCGUGAGUGACGGUAAUGGGUAAAGAAGCACCGGCUAACUACGUGCCAGCAGCCGCGGUGAUACGUAGGGUGCGAGCGUUGUCCGGAUUUAUUGGGCGUAAAGGGCUCGUAGGUGGUUGAUCGCGUCGGAAGUGUAAUCUUGGGGCUUAACCCUGAGCGUGCUUUCGAUACGGGUUGACUUGAGGAAGGUAGGGGAGAAUGGAAUUCCUGGUGGAGCGGUGGAAUGCGCAGAUAUCAGGAGGAACACCAGUGGCGAAGGCGGUUCUCUGGGCCUUUCCUGACGCUGAGGAGCGAAAGCGUGGGGAGCGAACAGGCUUAGAUACCCUGGUAGUCCACGCUGUAAACGGUGGGUACUAGGUGUGGGGUCCAUUCCACGGGUUCCGUGCCGUAGCUAACGCUUUAAGUACCCCGCCUGGGGAGUACGGCCGCAAGGCUAAAACUCAAAGGAAUUGACGGGGCCCCGCACAAGCGGCGGAGCAUGCGGAUUAAUUCGAUGCAACGCGUAGAACCUUACCUGGGUUUGACAUGGAUCGGGAGUGCUCAGAGAUGGGUGUGCCUCUUUUGGGGUCGGUUCACAGGUGGUGCAUGGCUGUCGUCAGCUCGUGUCGUGAGAUGUUGGGUUAAGUCCCGCAACGAGCGCAACCCUUGUUCACUGUUGCCAGCACGUUAUGGUGGGGACUCAGUGGAGACCGCCGGGGCCAACUCGGAGGAAGGUGGGGAUGACGUCAAGUCAUCAUGCCCCUUAUGUCCAGGGCUUCACGCAUGCUACAAUGGCUGGUACAGAGAGUGGCGAGCCUGUGAGGGUGAGCGAAUCUCGGAAAGCCGGUCUCAGUUCGGAUUGGGGUCUGCAACUCGACCUCAUGAAGUCGGAGUCGCUGGUAAUCGCAGAUCAGCAACGCUGCGGUGAAUACGUUCCCGGG